CACUUUCCCUCACUUCCGCCUCUCUCUUCUUCCCUUUCUUCUUCUUUUCAAGGUCUCUGUUGAUGACGGAUCAUGUGUAAUCGACGUUAGUGAAGAUGGGUAUUGAUGAAAGUGAUUCGAGCAAUGGGAGAAGAUUUGAUGUUGGAGGACAGAUAGAUGGGUGAUCUAGAGUCUGAGAAGUAAGAGAAGAAAGGAACUGUGGAGGUAUUGAAUUUGAAGCCGAGAAAAUGGAGGAAGUAGUCUGAUGUUGUUGAUUUGUUGGUUCAUGGUGGUUAGAUUUUGGAAAGAGGUUAGGAGUUGGUGGUGCUGAGAUACGAAGAUGGAGAUGCAAUAGUUGUUAUUGGUGGUAUUGAGAAGUCAGGGAUGGAGGUGAUGUUACAGAGAAGUUGGAGUCUGCAGCCAUGGUUUGUCUCUGAAUCAGUGAGGAGAUUAAAGGGAUUUUGAGAAGUUGAGAUGGAAUCAGUGGUGCUGAGGUUCAUGGGUUUGGAUUUGGUGAUGUUUUGAAAUUACGAUUUGAGUUAGUUGCAGAUCAAGAACUCAAUGAAAGAGUUGUUGUUGAUGUUGAGCAAUUGAGAUGUUGAUCCGUGAGUUGGUAGUGGGUAUUAAUUGGUGAUGGUCGAUGAUGUUUACAUUGGAAGAGAAAGAGCUGCUACUGGUGAUUACUCGUGUACAUGUGCAAUAUGGAGAAAUAUUUGAUGUUAUUACUUACAGUGGCGAGUUGAUGGAGUUUGAGAUGGUGCUGCUGCUGAUGGGAAUGUGUUUCGUCAUUUGAGAAUUGGUAGUGAUGCAAAUGAAGCAAAUGGAAAGGAAAUUAUGGAGCUGAUAUUGUUAGUGAUAAAUGGAGAAAUUGAUAUGGAAUGUAUGUUGAUGUUGAUCUCAAGAUGAGCCGGUGGUUGAACUAGUCAAAUGGGAGCUGCAGGAUUGAGAAGUUGAUGAUGUUGGUUAAGUUGCUGAUGUGUUGUACAGCGGUGCAGGUGGUGUUAGAUCUAGUGCAUAGACUGAUAUUGCAGGUGAACAUGAAAUGUUGCGGGUUUGGUGUCUGAGAGCUGAAGAAAUGGUGUUCUUGCACUUGCAAGAAAGGGUACAAUGCAGAGAUGACGUGUACAUGUCGCCACAUGUAAAUGAUUCCACGUCAGCUUGUACAGUUAACUACCUAGAGUUAAAUGUUAAGGGCAGGUUUGUCCAAUAUAGGGUGUAAAUAUGUCUGACGUGGCACCGUUUUUUUCUUUUGUAAGUUUCGGAUGGAAAAACUUAACGAAGGGAUAAUUUUCUAAGUUUGUUUGAAAGAGUGACAUAUUAGUAAUUACAAUUAUAAAGAGAGACAUAUUGUUAAAAAAC